GGUCAGUCUUGUAUUGGUAGUGUGUGUAUUUUCCUGGUGUCUGGUGGUGUUUAUUUGCACCAUCUAUUGGCCGGUGGUGAGUCUGAUUUCAGGUGAUAGCGCCUAUUUGCUGGUGACAGGUUGUUUCUACAGUAUCUGCUGGUGAUGAGUGCUGUCUAUUUCCUGGUGGCAGGUGGCAUUAUUUGCUGGUGAUGAGUGUUGUGUAUAUUCUAGUAAGAGCAACUAUUUUCUAGUAAUGUAUGGCGUCUAUUUGAUGGUGAUGGAUGGUGUCUAUUUCCUGGUCACAGGUGGCAUCUCUUGUCGGGUGGCUCUCGUGGUGAAUGGUGACAAUUGGCUGCUAUUGGUAGGUGUCUAUUUUCUGGUUAUGGGUUGCUUCUGUUUACUGGUGACAGGUUGUCUAUCUCUGCUGGUGAUGGGUGGUGUCUAUUUCUUGGCGAUAGCAACUAUUUGCUAGUAAUGGCUGGCGUUUGCUUGCUCGUAGAAAGUCUCUCUCUGCUGGUGAUGGAUGCUGACUAUUUCCUGAUGACAGGUGGCGUCUCUUGUCAUGGGUGGGGCCUGUUUGCUAAGAUUGGCGGUGAUGUAAAUUUUCUGGUGGCGGCAGUGUCUAUUUGCUGUUGAUGAAUGGUAACAAUAUACUGCUAUUGGUAGGUAUCUAUUUUCUGGUUCUGGAUGGUGUUUAUUUCCUGGUUUUGGGUGGUGUCUAUUUGAUGGGUGAUGUCUAUUUCCUUGUGAUAGCAAAUAUUUUCCAGUACUGGGUGGUGUCUAUUUGCUGGUAACUAGUGCCUCUCUGCUGGUGAUGGUUGUAGUCUCUUGUCAUGGAUGGUGCCUGUUUACUAAGGUCGAGUGAUGUAUAAUUUCCAUUGGUGGAUGGUGGUGAAUAUUUGCUGGUAACAGGUUGCCUAGCUCUGCUGGUAAUGGGUGGAUCUAUUUACUGGUGAUAGCAACUAUUUGCUAGUAAUGGGUGGUGUCUAUUUCUUGGUGACAGGUGUUAUUUAUUUACUGGUGAUGGGUCUGUGACUGGCAACUAUUCCAGGGUGUAACCUGCCUCUUGCCCAAAGUCAGCUGGGAUAGGCUCUAGCAUACCCGUGACUCCAGUGAGUACAAGAGGUAUAGAAAAUGGAUAGAUGGACGUUGUGUGUUUUCUGGUGGGUGGGUAAUGGGUGGCACCUAUUUGCUGACUGCUUGUGUCUUUUUCCUGGUGGCAGGUGAAUUUUAUUUCCUGGUGAAAUGUGGAAUCUAUUUGUUGGUGUAUUUGUUUGUGUAGGCGUUGUGUAUUUCCUGGUGAUAUAAACUAUUUUCUAGUAACUAUUUUCAAAUAAUGGGUAGCAGCUAUUUGCUGGUAAAAGGUUGUGUCUCUGCUGGUCAUGGGUGGUGUUUAUUUACUGGUGACAAGUUGCAUCUAUUUCCUGGUGGGUUUGAUUUCUGGUGAUAGCGCCUAUUUUCUGGUGACAGGCUGUGUCUACAUAUCUGCUGGUGAUGAGUGGUGUCUAUUUCCUGGCAACAGGUUGCACUUCUUGGUCAUGGGUGGCAUUUAUUCACUGAUGACAGGGUGGGUAUUUCCUGGUGGCAGGUAAGUCUAUUACCUAGUGACAGGUGGCAUCUAUUUGCUGCUAAUGUGUGUUGUGUAUUUUCAGUGAUAGCAGCUAUUUUAUAGUAAUGGAUAAUGUCUAUUUGCUGGUAACAACUGUCUCUUUGCUGGUGAUGGAUGGUGUCUAUGUCUUGGUGACAAGUGGUGUCUCUUGUCAUGGGUGACGGCUGUUUGCUAAGAUUCCGUGAUGUGUAUUUUCUGGUGACCGAUGGCGCAUAUUCUGGUGCUGGGUGGUGUCUAUUUCCUGAUGAUGGACAGUGUGUAUGUGCUGGGUGGUAUCUAUUCGCAGGCAAAGAAGUCUUUGAGUGGUGCAAAAAGAUGCCUGAUGACAGGAACGCUCCAGGACCGGCCAAGGAGUUUCUGCCGAGCACCUCGACCCAUGUUGGACACGUCUGUGUAGUGGACCGGGAAGCCGAAGAUCCUGCAAUAGUUUAUUUCAAAAAGAAUGUCAGAAAGUUUGACUGACGACCCAGGUGGUGGCUUCCUGAAGGUGUCAGUCCUUUACCUCUCCAGCUCCGUGCACCACAAGAUGUCCUCCUUGCCGUUCAUCAGGACAGGAAAGUGCUGAUCCUUUCCUUGUUUGAUGGAGUUGGAGCGUGUGGUGAUGGUGCGCACCUUUCCAAACUAGACAGCAGGAACGUUCAUUCAUACAAAAGUCGAAAAGAGUAAACAUCACUUUACUGCCGUUGUUGUUCUGACCUUUGCCACUCGGCCAUGUUCCAGACAGUCCUGCAGCUCCAGCUUGUCCAUCCCAGAAGCGCACAGAGGUCUGCCAAACGCACAUGUACAUGUACCAUUAUGUACUGUAUAAAUGUAUACAUUUUUGGAGCUGUUUGCCCACCUGUUCAUGCCCGGCAGGUUCCCCCAAAAGUAUCGAGCACGGUGGGCGGCAGAGACCUCAAUAGCGUCAAUCAUCACAGGGUUACACUGCGACACACACACACAGCCACCAUCUCACAUUUAGAUGUCCACUUGCGUAAACGUGUCUUUGCUCCACACGGUUUCAAGUUUCAAACACUGUCCGUGGCCUUACCUCCAGGAAUCGAGAAAUGUCCCUCUUGUCAUUGACACCCAUGGCGACCACAUUCUCGAACAUCCAGAAGAAAGGUCGGUUCUCUCCCUCUUUGGGCUUGGCCUCGCUCAGCAGACGGUAGAACUCAAAGAACAACCUCCCUGUACCUUCUGAACCAAUCAAGACCCAAAAGAAGCAAAGCACGUCACCAAGUACUCAACACCUACCAUGGCUACAGGACAAAAGAAGAAAAAGAAGAAAGUAGGACUUGCCAUAGAGGCCCUUCCUUGCUGGGUUGACAAUAGACAAGUCAUUGCAUGGACUUCCCCCGAUGACCAGAUCAAAUGGUCCCCAUUCUAGGAUCUGAUGAGGAAUAUCAUGUUAGGAUUAUUAGAUACUCACGUCUCUUAACCAAUGAAAGAAUCACAGAGAUGCCAACAUCUGACAAUCAAAACCAGGGAGGUUCCCCCUUUUUAAGAUGACGGGUGGCAUCUCUGGAAUCAUUGACAGGUUAGACUAGAACCCCAAGGAGACAACGUCACAAUACAUGUUGGAAUUCAUCUCCCCCGCCAAUGAGCCGCAACUCUCCGUUGCCAGCAGCGCCAUGCUUGACUCUAUCUUGUAUCACAGUAUCUUGCCACAAAACACCAGAAAAAGUCACUAGUUUUGUCACCAAGGUCUAGGAACACAGUGUGUUUGACGUCUCUGCCUGGACGACAAUGCAUGAUAUGCUGCAUGCUGAAAUGCCUCAUUAAAGUCAAGAAGAAAAUGACAGGUGGAGGUGAUCUAGCGCUGCUUCAAAAUGUUACAGUACGUGUUUGAAUUCAUUUUCAGCUCCCCAGUGCAGGCGGCACUUCCUGACUGAAGAGUCAAUCACUGUUUCUUGCCAAAAGACAAGAGGAAGAUAACAGGAGGUGAUCACGCUCUGCUUCAGAGUAGAUGUUGGAAUUUUAUCUAGCCACCUCAAUGAGUAAACCACAGCUCCCCAGUGCUGGCGGCACUCGUGCAGUCCCGGAUCAUGACGCUACCCCCAACAUGCUUGACUGUAAGCAAGACACAAGUAUCUUAUGUUGUGGCUGUGCGGAAAACCUCACUCCCUGACGAUGACAGCUCGGGCUUUUAGCUCGCCGGCUGGCGCUGCUCAACUCUCAUUUAGUGGGGCUCGAUGGACCCAGGGUUUGUGCUCUGGCGGGCGUAGCGCCAAAUUCCGCAGAGAUGGAGUCCUCACACACCUCGGAUGCCACGUACUGGUCCACCUUGAAGCCCAGAUCUCUCAGGACCAGGCGCUCGUCCUCACCUGUUGCGAUGCCGUCAAACAGGGAGAGGACUCGGACUGGUCGCCUCUGCUCUGCAGGGACUGCUGGAACUCUUGCAGUUUGACGCUCCAGUCGUGCCGUCGUUUGAGGACGCCGUACUGAAGCAGCGGCUGACACAUGUAGCAUCGCCACGGGUCGAGGAAGCGUGCGUUGUUCGAUGCCCCUGGAUCCACCAGGAUGUCCAAACAGUCCACGCAGAAACAUCUGGAGAGGGGGGUGGACACAAUAUGGUUUAGCCACAAUUCUUCAUUUUUGCCUGUGUGUGCGUGUGUGUGUGUGUGUGUGUGUGUGUGUGUGUGUGUGUGUGUGUGUGUGUGUGUCCGACCUGCAGCAGUUGGCGUUGCCGCACAGCAGAACCUCUCGCCCCCCGCAGCAGACGGUGCAGUAGGACUGGUAGCCGUCAUCGUCGUACAUGUAGGAUGUCUCCAGUAGAUCCCUGCAAAUGGUAUACGAGCGUGAAUACUGGACGUACCCAGAAAAAGCCCUAAAAGUGCCUAUUUUUUAUACUCUAAACCAGUGGUGGGCAAACUUUUUUACCCGCAGGCCACACUGGGUUAAAACAUUUGCCCAAGGGGCUGUCUACAUACGGUUGGUCAUCAAACAGGAUGACAUACUUGCUCAGGGUGCAACAAAACGAAAACACAUCACAUAAAUCAACGACUACGACUACUGAGCACAUGAAUAGAAAACGAGUGUGGAAGCCGACCAAAUUCGAAACGAAGGGGAAGGUGGAGCUACAUCACCCGCUGAGAAGACGGAAGCACGGAGACCGAAAGAAAAACAUAAAUCAGAUGCUGAGCAAACUAAAGUCAGCCCUCUGCUACACCACACAGCACUCCAGUACCAUUCAAAAGCUAUAAUCUCUGUAUGGAAAAGGCAAAUACAACAAAAUGCAGUUCUGGACUUUCUGACAAAACAAUCUGAGGGAGAACACCAACGACAGGAGGAGAACGAGGCCAAAACAGGGAGGUUUUUAAACUUUGAAAUGAUGCUUGAUUAGGUUUAUACAUUUGUUGAUAAAGUUUGUUGUGUUGUUAUUUGUAUUUCAUAUGUAUAUUUGAUACGUUUUCUAAUUUUAUAAAUGUUACAGUGCUGGUUUUGAGCUGUUAUUUAUUAGAGUUGUUUGUU